CUUGAGAGUGCCCUUCGGGGAACUGUAAGACAGGUGGUGCAUGGUUGUCGUCAGCUCGUGUCGUGAGAUGUUGGGUUAAGUCCCGCAACGAGCGCAACCCCUAUGUUUAGUUGCUAGCGAGUAAGGUCGAGCACUCUAGACAGACUGCCGGUGAUAAACCGGAGGAAGGUGGGGAUGACGUCAAAUCAUCAUGCCCCUUAUGUUCUGGGCUACACACGUGCUACAAUGGCCGGUACAAACGGAAGCGAAGCCGCGAGGUGAAGCAAAUCUGAUAAAACCGGUCUCAGUUCGGAUUGCAGGCUGCAACUCGCCUGCAUGAAGUCGGAAUCGCUAGUAAUCGCAGGUCAGCAUACUGCGGUGAAUACGUUCCCGGGCCUUGUACACACCGCCCGU
rnacentral:rRNA from 1 species